rnacentral:rRNA from 1 species
UACGUAGGGUGCAAGCGUUGUCCGGAAUUAUUGGGCGUAAAGAGCUCGUAGGCGGCUUGUCGCGUCGGCUGUGAAAACUCGGGGCUCAACCCCGAGCCUGCAGUCGAUACGGGCAGGCUAGAGUCCGGCAGGGGAGACUGGAAUUCCUGGUGUAGCGGUGAAAUGCGCAGAUAUCAGGAGGAACACCGGUGGCGAAGGCGGGUCUCUGGGCAUUAACUGACGCUGAGGAGCGAAAGCGUGGGGAGCGAACAGG